UACGUAGGGUGCAAGCGUUAAUCGGAAUUACUGGGCGUAAAGCGUGCGCAGGCGGUCCGUUAAGACAGAUGUGAAAUCCCCGGGCUUAACCUGGGAACUGCAUUUGUGACUGGUGGACUCGAGUAUGGCAGAGGGGGGUAGAAUUCCACGUGUAGCAGUGAAAUGCGUAGAGAUGUGGAGGAAUACCGAUGGCGAAGGCAGCCCCCUGGGCCAAUACUGACGCUCAGGCACGAAAGCGUGGGGAGCAAACAGG
rnacentral:rRNA from 1 species